rnacentral:rRNA from 1 species
AACGAACGCUGGCGGCGUGGAUAAGACAUGCAAGUCGAGCGCUGAUUACGGGGUAGCAAUAUUCCGUGGUCGGAGCGGCGCAAGGGUGCGUAACACGUGGGUAAUCUGCCAUGAAGUUUGGAAUAACCUGCUGAAAGGCGGGCUAAUACCGGAUGUGAAAAUUGAGAGGCAUCUUUUGAUUUUCAAAGUUGGGGACCGUAAGGCCUGACGCUUCAUGAUGAGCCCGCGGCCUAUCAGCUAGUUGGUGAGGUAACGGCCCACCAAGGCUAAGACGGGUAGCUGGUCUGAGAGGACGACCAGCCACACUGGAACUGAGACACGGUCCAGACACCUACGGGAGGCUG